CAUGGUCAAGGAUCAAAAUGACAGUAUUCUUUUCUUUUCUUUUUUCCAUUUCUCCAUCUUCAUCUUCUUCCUCUCAUACUUCUUCAUACAUUCAUAUAAAAUCCAGAAAUUGUAGAACUCAAAAAUCGUGGUAAGGAUGAAGAUCUUAAGAUUGAGGCAAUGAAACUCUUGAAAGUAGGAUGAACACUUUUCAAUUCCAUGAAGCAUGUAACUUUGUUGUUGUUGUUGUUGAAGAUGCUUGCAAAUCUGAAGGUGGACGGACAUAGGAUAGGUGAUUUUGAUCUUGCUCUUAUUUGUUUAGGGUUCUUUUCUCUUUAAAUAUGUUCUAUAUAUUAUUCAAACUUGUUUUAUCCUUAACUAUGUUCUUAAACCAGUGCUUGAACCAUAGCUUCUAGCUCCAACAUCAAGAUACACAUAUCUGCUCUUAAAUCUUAUAUCAACCAUUGAAAUGCAUAUUUUAUGUUCUUAAAUCUUAUAUCACCAAUUGUAAUCAUACCAACCAUGACGAAGAAUGAGAGGAAGAAGAUAAAGAAAUGGAAAGAAAGAAAAAAAAAGUACCGUCAUUUUGGU
rnacentral:lncRNA from 1 species